GACGAACCGUGCGACCGUUAUUCGGAAUCACUGGGCUUAAAGCGCGUGUAGGCGGGCCGGCACGUCGGUCGCUGAAAUCCCCCGGCUCAACCGGGGAAGGGGCGCCGAUUCGACCGGCCUGGAGGGGGGUAGGGGGCGCUGGAACUCACGGUGGAGCGGUGAAAUGCGUUGAGAUCGUGAGGAACGCCCGCGGCGAAAGCGAGCGCCUGGACCCUUUCUGACGCCGAGACGCGAAAGCCAGGGGAGCGAACGGG
rnacentral:rRNA from 1 species